rnacentral:tRNA from 1 species
GCACAGCCGGUAUGCACGGCAUACGAAUUUUUGCGCGGUUUAUCCCCGCUGGCGCGGGGAACACUAGCUGUUCUAAUCGGGAGCCGUGCGCC